UGCAGAAUCCCGUGAACCAUCGAGUCGUUGAACGCAAGUUGCGCCCGAAGCCAUCAGGCCGAGGGCACGCCUGCCUGGGUGUCGCACAUCGUUGCCCCAAAUGCCUCGGCCUUGUGCCAGGCUUCGAGCGGGGCGAAUGUUGGCUUCCCGCGAGCUAUGUCUCACGGUUGGUUGAAAAUUGAGUCCGUGGUGGAGGGUGCCGCGAUGCAUGGUGGUUGAGUAAAAGCUCGAGAUCGAUCGUGCGCGUCACCCCUAUCGGAUUUGGGACUCUGUGACCCAUGAGCGCCUGUUGGAUGCCCAUGACGGGACCUCAGGUCAGGCGGGGCUACCCGCUGAGUUUAA
rnacentral:rRNA from 1 species